rnacentral:rRNA from 1 species
AAUUAGAGUGUUCCAGGCGGUCAUUUUUUGAUUGAAUAGAUUAGCAUGGAAUAAUGGAAGAGGACGAUGUUUCCACUUUUGUUGGUUUUGGUGGAGGAUGUUGUAAUGAUUAAGAGGGACAGUUGGGGGCAUUAGUAUUUAAUAGCUAGAGGUGAAAUUCCAGGAUUUAUGAAAGACUGACUUCUGCGAAAGCAUUUGCCAAGGAUGUUUUCAUUGAUCAAGAACGAAAGUUAGGGGAUCGAAGACGAUUAGAUACCGUCGUAGUCUUAACUGUAAACUAUGCCGACUCGGGCUCUGGGCGCCUUUGGGGUGCGUGGGGACCGUGAGCGAAAGCGCAAGUUUUUGGGUUCCGGGGAGAGUAUGGUCGCAAGGCUGAAAUUUAAAGGAAUUGACGGAAGGGCACACCAGAAGUGGAGCCUGCGGCUUAAUUUGACUCAACACGGGGAAACUCACCAGGUCCAGACAUAGUGAGGAUUGACAGAUUGAGAGCUCUUUCUUGAUUCUAUGGGUGGUGGUGCAUGGCCGUUCUUAGUUGGUGGCUUGAGUUGUCUGGUUAAUUCCGUUAACGAACGAGACCUUUUGGGGUUUUUGGGCGGGGCGUGGCAGCACGCCUGGCAGGCGAAACUCCGACUAUCGGUGUAUUUUAAGAUUGAAACCGAGGGAAGGUAAAGGCAAUAACAGGUCUGUGAUGCCCUUUGAUGUUCUGGGCCGCACGCGCGCUACACUGAUAGAGGCAGAGAGUGGGAUGUGUGUAGGGAAUAAGGGGGGAAACCUUUUUGUGACUUACGCGACCUGGUCCGAGAGGAUUCUGGGUAAUCUUGUGAAACUCUAUCGUGCUUGGGAUAGAUCUUUGUAAUUAUCGAUCUUCAACGAGGAAUUCCUAGUAAGCAUGGUUCAUCAGACCAUGUUGAUUACGUCCCUGCCCUUUGUACACACCGCCCGUCGCUACUACCGAUUGAAUAGUUGGGUUAGAUGUGGGGAGGUCCUUUGCUAAGAGGGAGAUGUUUAACAGAUGUCUUUGCCGAACCACCUCAAACUUGACUAUUUAGAGGAAGUAAAAGUCGUAACAAGGUAUCCGUUUGGGAACUAGCGGAUG